rnacentral:misc_RNA from 1 species
CCGAGUGAGGGCCCUCCGGGUCCAACCUCCCACCCGUGUUUAUCGUACCUUGUUGCUUCGGCGGGCCCGCCGGGGGGCGUCCGUCCCCGGGUCCGCGCCCGCCGAAGACGCCUGUGAACGCUGUAUGAAGAUUGCAGUCUGAGCGAAUAGCUAAAUUUAUUA